CGGAGCUCACCCCCUGCCCAGCUGCUUGCUGGGGGGGCAUGGGGGGGCAGAGGGGGGCUGGCCAGCCGUGGUGUCCGGUCCUGCAGACCCGGCCCGCUUUGCAGCCUGCCUUGGGGCUGGGUGCCGUCCCCCUGCUCCGCGGAGGCCCUUCCCUUGUGCCCACCCCGGCAGCUGCCGGCGCGGCGGUGGCCGAGCGCGGGGGCUCCGGAGAGGCCGGUGCUGCCGGGGACGCGGCUGCCGGCCGGCUCCAGGACGUGAGUCAGCAAAGGAGCGUGGAGGCCGGGCUGCAGCGGGGAGGGGCAGGGAGCUCCGGUCCCUGCUGCCGGGGCCGUGGGCAGGCUGGGGCAGGGGCAGCCCCCCCGGGCUCCCGGAGCUCCCCCGCUCGCCUGCAGGGCCGGGCCCCAGCCGGGGGCCUCGAUGCCUAGGUCGCUUCCGGGGGAAAAGCAGCAGGAGCCGGUGCAGAGCUAUUCCCUGGCCCAGGUGUUGCAGACGGCACCCCCCUGAGCGAGCUCUCCUGGUCCUCCUCGCUGGCUGUGGUGGCCGUUUCCUUCUCCGGGCUCUUCACCUUCAUCUUCCUCAUGCUGGCGUGUCUGUGCUGCAAGAAGGGCGACGUCGGCUUCAAGGAGUUCGAGAACGCGGAGGGGGACGACUAUGGCGCGCAGUUCUCGGCCCCGGGCUCGCCGGCGGCGCACAGCGGCCCCGAGGUGUACAUCCUGCCGCUCACCGAGGUCUCGCUGCCCAUGUCCAAGCAGCCGGGGCGCUCAGUGCAGCUGCUCAAGUCCGCGGACCUGGGGAGGCACAGCUUGCUCUACCUGAAGGAGAUCGGGCACGGCUGGUUC
rnacentral:lncRNA from 1 species